CCAAACUCAAACCCUACUUCUUUUUCGCUUUAUUUUUCCCUUUCUGUUUUUUUUUUUCCUUUUCUUUUGUUUCUUUCCAAUUUUUGUUUUUGCCUUUUUUUUUGUCUUCUCCAAAUGCUGUUUUCUCUAGUAUUGAUGUAUGUUCUCUUUUCUUUUUCUUUUUUUUUUUCCUUUUUUUUCUUUCUAUUGUUUUCCCUUCUCUUCA
rnacentral:lncRNA from 1 species